CCUGAUCCAGCAAUGCCGCGUGUGUGAAGAAGGCCUUCGGGUUGUAAAGCACUUUUAUCAGGAGCGAAAUACUACUGGCUAAUAACCGGUGGGGCUGACGGUACCUGAGGAAUAAGCACCGGCUAACUUCGUGCCAGCAGCCGCGGUAAUACCAAGGGUGCAAGCGUUAAUCGGAAUUACUGGGCGUAAAGCGUGCGUAGGCGGUUUGUUAAGUCUGUUGUGAAAUCCCCGGGCUCAACCUGGGAAUGGCAAUGGAUACUGGCGAGCUAGAGUGUGAUAGAGGAUGGUGGAAUUCCCGGUGUAGCGGUGAAAUGCGUAAAGAUCGGUAGGAACAUCAAUGGCGAAGGCGGCCAUCUGGAUCAACACUGACGCUGAGGCACGAAAGCGUGGGGAGCAAACAGGAUUAGAUACCCUGGUAGUCCACGCCCUAAACGAUGCGAACUGGAUGUUGGUCUCAACUCGGAGAUCACUGUCGAAGCUAACGCGUUAAGUUCGCCGCCUGGGGAGUACGGUCGCAAGACUGAAACUCAAAGGAAUUGACGGGGGCCCGCACAAGCGGUGGAGUAUGUGGUUUAAUUCCAUGCAACGCGAAGAACCUUACCUGGCCUUGACAUGUCUGGAAUCCUGCAGAGAU
rnacentral:rRNA from 1 species